GAUGAACGCUGGCGGCGUGCCUAAUACAUGCAAGUCGAGCGAACGGACGAGAAGCUUGCUUCUCUGAUGUUAGCGGCGGACGGGUGAGUAACACGUGGAUAACCUACCUAUAAGACUGGGAUAACUUCGGGAAACCGGAGCUAAUACCGGAUAAUAUUUUGAACCGCAUGGUUCAAAAGUGAAAGACGGUCUUGCUGUCACUUAUAGAUGGAUCCGCGCUGCAUUAGCUAGUUGGUAAGGUAACGGCUUACCAAGGCAACGAUGCAUAGCCGACCUGAGAGGGUGAUCGGCCACACUGGAACUGAGACACGGUCCAGACUCCUACGGGAGGCAGCAGUAGGGAAUCUUCCGCAAUGGGCGAAAGCCUGACGGAGCAACGCCGCGUGAGCGAUGAAGGUCUUCGGAUCGUAAAACUCUGUUAUUAGGGAAGAACAUAUGUGUAAGUAACUGUGCACAUCUUGACGGUACCUAAUCAGAAAGCCACGGCUAACUACGUGCCAGCAGCCGCGGUAAUACGUAGGUGGCAAGCGUUAUCCGGAAUUAUUGGGCGUAAAGCGCGCGUAGGCGGUUUUUUAAGUCUGAUGUGAAAGCCCACGGCUCAACCGUGGAGGGUCAUUGGAAACUGGAAAACUUGAGUGCAGAAGAGGAAAGUGGAAUUCCAUGUGUAGCGGUGAAAUGCGCAGAGAUAUGGAGGAACACCAGUGGCGAAGGCGACUUUCUGGUCUGUAACUGACGCUGAUGUGCGAAAGCGUGGGGAUCAAACAGGAUUAGAUACCCUGGUAGUCCACGCCGUAAACGAUGAGUGCUAAGUGUUAGGGGGUUUCCGCCCCUUAGUGCUGCAGCUAACGCAUUAAGCACUCCGCCUGGGGAGUACGACCGCAAGGUUGAAACUCAAAGGAAUUGACGGGGACCCGCACAAGCGGUGGAGCAUGUGGUUUAAUUCGAAGCAACGCGAAGAACCUUACCAAAUCUUGACAUCCUUUGACGACUCUAGAGAUAGAGCUUUCCCCUUCGGGGGACAAAGUGACAGGUGGUGCAUGGUUGUCGUCAGCUCGUGUCGUGAGAUGUUGGGUUAAGUCCCGCAACGAGCGCAACCCUUAAGCUUAGUUGCCAUCAUUAAGUUGGGCACUCUAAGUUGACUGCCGGUGACAAACCGGAGGAAGGUGGGGAUGACGUCAAAUCAUCAUGCCCCUUAUGAUUUGGGCUACACACGUGCUACAAUGGACAAUACAAAGGGCAGCGAAACCGUGAGGUCAAGCAAAUCCCAUAAAGUUGUUCUCAGUUCGGAUUGUAGUCUGCAACUCGACUACAUGAAGCUGGAAUCGCUAGUAAUCGUAGAUCAGCAUGCUACGGUGAAUACGUUCCCGGGUCU
rnacentral:rRNA from 1 species